AGCGAACGCUGGCGGCAGGCUUAACACAUGCAAGUCGAGCGGGCGUAGCAAUACGUCAGCGGCAGACGGGUGAGUAACGCGUGGGAACGUACCUUUUAGUUCGGAACAACACAGGGAAACUUGUGCUAAUACCGGAUAAGCCCUUACGGGGAAAGAUUUAUCGCCGAAAGAUCGGCCCGCGUCUGAUUAGCUAGUUGGUGAGGUAAUGGCUCACCAAGGCGACGAUCAGUAGCUGGUCUGAGAGGAUGAUCAGCCACAUUGGGACUGAGACACGGCCCAAACUCCUACGGGAGGCAGCAGUGGGGAAUAUUGGACAAUGGGCGCAAGCCUGAUCCAGCCAUGCCGCGUGAGUGAUGAAGGCCCUAGGGUUGUAAAGCUCUUUUGUGCGGGAAGAUAAUGACGGUACCGCAAGAAUAAGCCCCGGCUAACUUCGUGCCAGCCGCCGCCGUAAUAC
rnacentral:rRNA from 1 species